UUAAAAAGCUCGUAGUUGGAUUUCUGUCGAGGGCGGCCGGUCCGCACUAUGUGCGUGUAUCUGGUUCGGUCUUGGCAUCCUCUUGGGGAUCGUUCGUGUGCUUGGUUGCAUGCGACGGAAUUCAAGACUUUUACUUUGAGGAAAUUAGAGUGUUCACGGCAAGCUAUCGCUUUGAAUACAUUAGCAUGGAAUAAUAAUAUAGGGCGUAAGUUCUAUCUUGUUGGUUCAUAGAAAAUACGCAAUGAUUAAUAGGGAUAAUUGGGGGCACCCGUAUUAAUGCGUCAGAGGUGGAAUUCUCAGAUUGCGUUACGACGAACUACUGCGAAAGCAUUUGCCAAGGAUGUUUUCAUUGAUCAAGAACGAAAGUAUGGGGAUCGAAGACGAUUAGAUACCGUCGUAGUCUAUACCAUAAACUAUGCCAACUAGAGAUUGGAGGUCGUUUUAUUUAUGACUCCUUCAGCACCUUAUGAGAAAUCAAAGUUUUUGGGUUCCGUGGGGAGUAUGGU
rnacentral:rRNA from 1 species